CUCUGGGCGACACACGUACUACAAUGGUCGGGACAGAGGGCAGCGAACCUGCGAAGGCAAGCUAAUCCCAGCAAACUCGCCUCAAGUUCAGAUCGCAGGCUGCAACUUCGGCCUGCGUGAAGGAGGAAUCGCUAGUAAUCGCCGGUCAGAAUACGGCGGUGAAUCCGUUCCCGGGCCUUGUACACACCGCCCGUCACACCAUGGAAGCUGGCCACGCCCGAAGUCGUUACCCUAACCUUUCGGGGAAGGGGACCCCGAAUGCAGGGUUGGUGACUGGGCUG
rnacentral:rRNA from 1 species